CUCGAAAGAAGCGAUCCAUGCACUGAUCUAUUCAGAUCAAUCACCAUCCCUAUGAUGAUCCUAUGAUCAGGAGCAAUUUAUAAAUUAACCAUCAAUGACACAUAUCUCAAAUUCUCAAUUCUUUGAGAAUAUGUGUCAUCAUCUUGUUAAUCCCUUGAAUGAUUCAUGGACACAUAAGCAUAAAUGGUAUUAUAAAUGCCCAAUAAGUACAAAAUAAUAUCCUAAAGAUAUAAUAUGUGUCAAUCAAGAUUAGCUUUUAGGGAAUACAUCCAACAUAGCACUCCUGGGAGGCAACC
rnacentral:lncRNA from 1 species